rnacentral:rRNA from 1 species
AUUGAACGCUGGCGGCAGGCCUAACACAUGCAAGUCGAGCGAGCGGCGGACGGGUGAGUAAUGGCUGGGAAACUGCCUGAUGGAGGGGGAUAACAACGGGAACCGGUAGCUAAUACCGCAUACAAUCAGAUGUGCCCAGUUGGGAUUAGAGAGUAGGUGGGGUAACGGCCCACCUAGGCGACGAUCCCUAGCUGGUCGGAGAGGAUGAACAGCCACACGGGAACUGAGACACGGUACAUACUCCUACGGGAGGGAGCAGUGGGGAAUAUUGCACAAUGGGCGCAAGCCUGAUGCAGCAAUGCCGCGUGUGUGAAGAAGGCCUUCGGGUUGUAAAGCACUUUCAGCGGUGAGGCGUUACCCGCAGAAGAAGCACCGGCUAAGUCCGUGCCAGCAGCCGCGGUAAUUC